rnacentral:rRNA from 1 species
GACGAACGCUGGCGGCGUGCUUAACACAUGCAAGUCGUACGGUAAGGCCCUUUCGGGGGUACACGAGUGGCGAACGGGUGAGUAACACGUGAGUAACCUGCCCACAACUUUGGGAUAACGCUAGGAAACUGGUGCUAAUACUGGAUAUGUGCUCCUGCUGCGUGGUGGGGGUUGGAAAGCUCCGGCGGUUGUGGAUGGACUCGCGGCCUAUCAGCUUGUUGGUGGGGUAGUGGCCUACCAAGGCGGCGACGGGUAGCCGGCCUGAGAGGGUGACCGGCCACAUUGGGACUGAGAUACGGCCCAGACUCCUACGGGAGGCAGCAGUGGGGAAGAUUGCACAAUGGGCGCAAGCCUGAUGCAGCAACGCCGCGGGCGGGAUGACGGCCUUCGGGUUGGAAACCGCUUUCAGCAGGGACGAAGCUUUUUGUGACGGUACCUGCAGAAGAAGCACCGGCUAACUACGUG